GGCAGCCCGGUGGGGAGCUUCAUUAUGUGUGUGAGUGUUGCCCGUCUGUCUCCUUGCCCCAGCCCCAGCAGAAUAAAGUAGUGCAAGCAUUCAGGUGUGACUGCUGUCAGAGAAAAGGCCGUGGUUCUGAUGCAAACAGGACAUCGAUGGUGGCUGUGCAAGCAGAGCAGGCACAACCCAAUUUUAAAAAGAAGGAAAAAAAGAAAGAAAAUCAAAAGUCUGGUCAGAGUUUUUUGCCAGGUUGUUAUGGUCUGGUGGAUUCAGAGAUAAAAUUAAAUCUCAUAAAGAAAGAAAAAGCCAAAAUGCAAACCAAAGCCCAGACUGAGGCAGCAAAAUUGAAGUGAAUUUUAAACUAUGCACACAUAGUGGAGGAAUCCUAUAAUCUUAUUAUUGUAACCUUGAUCCAUUCGUUCUCCCAGCAUUUAUUGCUCUCAUUAGUUAUGUAAUAUCUAAAAGCACACUGUAAAUUUUUUUGGUGUCGGGACAGUAUCUUUAAUGUAUUCUGAACAUGCAUAGUAUAAUUAGAGAGCUUUAUACAAAAAUAAUAUUACCUGCUGGGUUUUUUUCUAUAUUAUUUCUACCCAUAGGAAGAAUUAAAAUGCAGCAAGUCUGGAAAGGUCAAACUGAAUCUCCCCUCAUUCUGUGCAUGAUUUCAGAAAUAAUCAAAAAGUUAUGCUGAGAUAACUGAUAUGAAACCAGUGACACUAUCAUCACAAAACUUGGAUCAAUUUGUGCCCAUGCAGGCGAAGCAUCAUCUCAUUUCACACCUGAAAAUAUUUUUUUUUAAUUCUAUGUUUUAUAGAUAUUUUGAACUGUUUGUUCCUAACGGUUUGUUCUCACAGAUGUGCAUCAAUAUUGUGUAAUUACACAGAGACACUGUUGGCCCAAAGGAACCCAGGCUGCAAAGGACAGCUGUGCUGUAGGGAAGGUGAACAACUUGUGCCUCCAGGACAUGGAAAGCUACCUUGCUUUUCCACUCUUCCGCAAGCCCUUCUGGGCUUGUAAAAGCCAGGGAUCACCAAGGUGUAGAGCUCUCUCAGGUGCACGUCCUUGCUCUUUCAGUGCCCCUCUAAGCCAGGCAGGGCUGACAAGGGCUUGGCUGCCAGCGUGCACUUCUGCCCUGCGUUUGACUAGGAAAGGAAGGAAGGUCAGUGCCUGCCACCUGGGUGCAGAAUGGAAAAAGAGAUGUUACCCAAGGCCACGAGUAAACCCUUGCUCUUACAAAAGUGAGACUUUGAAAUUCUUUUCAGGAAAUAACCUUCAUUUUUAAGUUCCCAUCAGAAAGGUAUAAACACAUAUGUGUGGUAAAAGCGCACUUCAUCUGGGAAAGGUGAAGGGCUAAGUCAGUUCUGGGAUUUGAGCAUGUGGAUCAAGAUGGUUUAGGACUGCAAACCCAAAGAAUAAUGCUAAUCUAGAAUUCUCUGCCACUCAGAGGAGGAGCCCAAAGAACUCUUCUACACUGGAACCCUGGAAUUCCUUGGAAGCCCUCAGUGGGGAAAGCACUUUCCAGGGGGUUCUAAUUGUGGAGCUGCUAAACACAAUCUGUAACUUGACAGGUGUUCCCAAAGGGUCCACAGGAUCCUGGUCCAGUCCCAGUGGCAAAGAUUACUACACCUAUACUUAGAAAUUAAAAUAUAUGCUUGUGUGAUGUUUUAAUAUACUUAUUGGAAAUAUUUAAUAUCUAAGUAUUAGUUUUUCAUUAAUAUUUCAGUAUUAUUAUGGACAUUGUCCAGACUCAGUCCUGUGUCUAUAUUUACAGACACAUUUUAUGCAUUGCAUUUUAAUCAUCUAUAAACUUUACAGUUCUAUGCUGUCUUUUAAUCCUUUUCAGUAUCUAGUCUGAUAAAAUUCUUUUAAUGUAGCCAAUGAACAUCUGAAAAAAUGAAAGAGGUACAAUGAGAACUUAAUUUUGGAUUAACAGUUGUUUGCUAUCUUGAAACUGAUUAUUUGGCCCAAAAACUGAAAUUUAAUUCUUUAGAGAAAAGAAGAAUUCAUAAUGAAUUUAGGAACCAUGUUAAAAUUCCAUACUUACAAAAUAAAUUCAUGGUUUCUCAAGCUUCCAGUGGCACAGAAAAAGGAGCAGCAAAUCUCUGAGACAAUCACUACAUGUAGCAGCUGGGAGAGAGGAGGUUUGAAAGUAGCAAGGACAAUUUCAAACGAAAACUUCAAAACCAAGAUAUAACCAAAGACUUUUUAAGGAUGAAAGAACACAUGUAAGGAGGAUCAAGACCCAACAGUGAGAUCAGCUAUUAGCUAAUUAAAUAUGUGACUAAAAUUCAUCAUUUUAAAUAGCAGCCGUAUUGAUGGUGAGCAAUCUGCCUCGACCAGCACAAAGAAAACAUCAUUUUCCCAGCCAAGGCAUAUGCAGCAUCCUUCAGAAUGCGUCACAGCAGAUCCCUCAUCAGCCAGAGGAAUCACUGGGUUAUUAUGAAGUCCCUCCUGCCCAGCAGCACAGAACAAGCUUGGGAUCACCACACAUUUUUUAUUCUCCAGCAAAGAGGUGAUUUUAGUAUUGUUUUACCUAAUAAAUAUUUUCCUUUCAUGUAGCUGUGCCCUUUUGUGGGUGAGCACCCAGCUCCUCCUCUCAAAUUAAGACAGCUCAGUGACUGACCAGAGGCUUUGGCAAUCUUAUAUGGGACAAUGACUUGAAACCAAACCUCUCUCUUGCAAAUAAUUCCAGAAUAAAAUGUAACUGAGGACUGUGUAAACAAUGACUGAGGAGGGCAAAAUACAUUUUACUUUUCUAUAGCUCUCUGCAUUCUACAGUGUUUACAGGAGUUAAAGUCUAGUUUAGUCAUUAAUCAGGUAUGAAUCGAAGAAACUCAGGAGAUGCUGUUGUUGAAAAAGCAGAAUUAUUUUCACACAAAGAAGCAUUUUCCUCAUUUUAACUUCUUCUUAAUGGGUAUGUAUCUUUAAAAAACAAACCCAUUAUUUUGAAUUGUAUCAAUAAAUUUUCAUCUGUAAUACAGCUCAAACAAAAAAUACUAAAAUGCUAAAGGCAGUCUGGCUUUUUAAAUACACAUCUAGUAUGUUCAUUGCCAUAAUGCAAUACUGUAAAUGCCAAAAAAAGUGAAUCACUGAUAUAUAAUUUUAAAAUGCCAGUGAUUUCCCAGCUGUCACUGAUCUUGGAAAAUUUCCCCAGUAGCAUGUGGAGAUCAAUAAUUGUUUACAGACUUUUCGUCCCAGUUUAUAAGGAGGAUAUCACUGUGGACUAUGUCAAAUCUUUUAAAUGUGAAGUGAAAGCCUGGUUUCACUUAAAUCUAUUCAAAAGCCCAUCACACUAAGAAAUGGAAGAAUGAUCCAGGGAACUACUGCUUGUCCUUUGGGACAAUAAUGCUGCCAAGUCUGCAGGAGGCAUUCCUGAAGAAAGAAAGGUGAUUAGAAGUAGUAUCCAGCACGGCUUUUCCAAGGUUUGCCCAGGCUGACCUUCUGUGAUGCCCUGGAAGAUGUGCAGCCAAAGGCAGAGCCGUAGGUGUUGCCUACCUUGCCUUCAGCAGGGCUUUCUUUCCCCAUGGUCUCCACAGCAGCCUCGUAUCCAAGCUGGAAUGUUACAGUGUGGAUGGGCACACUGCAAAAGGAAUGAACAUCUCCUGCCAGGCCCAAGGGCUAACGAGUCCUACUCCCCCUGGCAGCUGCUCACCUUGGCAUUCCUUGGGCAUCUACCCUUAGACCUAAGCCAUGGAAUACCUGUCAAGUGUCCUGGAGGAGACCACAGAUUAUUUAUCCUCUUUUUUUUUUUUUUAGGAUAUUUAAGCACUGAAACAGGUUGCCCAGAGAGAUUGGGGAAUCUUAAUCCUUGCAGGUUUUCAAAACUUCUCUGCAUCACAUCCUCAACAAACUGAUGUGAUUUCAGGGUUGACCCUGAUCUGAGCAGUUUGCACUAGGAAACCUCCUACACUCCAUCCCAAGUGAAUAAUUCUGUGAUUCUGACAAAGAGGCUUUUUUGCCAUCCAUCCUAUCCUUAGGUUUUCCCUAUACAUGUGUAGUUCUGGGCUGAUGUCAAAAGUAAGUAAAUUAGCAUGUCCUCCUCAUCCUUGUAGCUCAGAAGGAGGUUUAAGAUCAAUACCCUGUGCAUGCUGAUCCCAAAUUCCAUGGCAACGUUAAUGUAUCCCAUUAGCAGAAAAUACCCUUCUCACUCACUAUUUUUCUCUCCUUGCACACGUAUUCAUGUGAAAGUGGGUGAAGAACCUUUCUCUUCUAUAUCCAGAUGAUUUUCUAUUCAAUGUUUUUCAGAAAAGGUACUGAAAAAUAAUUUUGUCUUUGAUUAUGUCUCUUUACAGCUUAUUCAUCAAUGUUUUUAGUUAUGCCAGAUCAAUUCUUUUCUGUGCUCAUCCAUUUCUCUUUUGUUUCAUCUAAUUUUUCAUCAGCUGAGUCUUUUCUUUAUUUAACUGAAAUGAGAGCCAAGGUUUCACACGCAUCACUGUGUCCAUAGCUCUAAACAUUAAUUGGAUAAGAAACUGUGAUACAAAUUGGUAAAAGGGCACACUACAUCCCAACACUGUAAACAAAUGGGAGUUUUGCACUGUUUUUGUGAAACCCCAAAUUUAAUUCCAUUACUCCAUGUAGUGAAGUCAAACACACUGAAUCUGGUGUCCCUUACAACCUUUCAGAGGUUUCAUCUCUUCACAGCUACAUUUGUACUGCAAACUCCCUGCUUAGCAAACCAGGCAUUGUAGGCAAUCCUCAAAAUGAACAAUAACGCUGCAAUGUAGUCAUUUGUUACAGACCUGCACAUUCUAAAUGUGACACUAUUUAGCAAAUAGUAGAAAUGUAUACUGGAAAUGAACCAUAUAUUUUCUCCCUAAUUCCUUUAUUAAGAGUGGUUAAACACAUUAAGUUGUGCAGUUUCAUAUCCAAGGACUUAUUUCCAGCAUUAUAAAACACUGCCAAAAAGUAUUUAAACCUUUGUGUGUAUCAUCAUAAAGAAAAAAUCUGUAUUGUAAGGAAAACUUCCAAACAUAUACAUUUAAAGUGACAAUUGGAAUUCUCAAAUUUGUGCAAUUAAAACAACAUAAAAUGGAAUUUCUAAGAUAUUAUAUAUGUACAAAAUUAUUAAUCAUUAAAAUAGCCAGAAGCCUCUCUGGGGCAACUAUAGUAUACAUAGGUGGCUUUGCCACAAACUGAAGCCAAACCAACUUAUUUUAAACCCAUGAGAAAUCCAACUCUUUUCCUGAAGUGCAGUACCGUGUAUAUCAAUAGUGAAAGUAGUUUAAACAUUUUCAAACAGAAAAAAAAUAUCUUAAAAGUCCAGAAAGAUAUAAACAACAUAGUCUUCUUCUUUAUCCUUGUUCCUUUUUUCACACCUGGCUAUGAAAAUUAGAAAAAAAGUAGAAGGUUGUGAUAGCAGUGGAAGACUCACCAAAAUACAUUUCAAAACUAAGAAAAAAUAUUUAAAUUGGUAUUAAAAAAAAAUCAAUAGUUGUACUGACAGCUGAAGGCAGAGUGAAUACGAAGUCAUGUGGCUCUGAGGCCUGAUCUUUUAAGCUGCUCCUAAUUAAAUGCAGCUUUGCUCUUACUGGAUGUUAAGAGCUUUCCAGGUUACUGCCCGUAUUAAAGGAAAAUUAGAUACUUAUCUGUAUGAAUGUUGCAAA